CUCCUCCUCCUCCUCCUUCUUCUUCUUCUUCUUCUUCUGCUUCUUCUUCUUCUUCUUCUUCUUUCUUUUCAUUUUGCCUAUUUCUUCUCCUCUUCUCCUCUUGUUGGAGCUAAAUUACCUAAUUAUGUCUUUUUGGAGCUAAAUGGGUUAAUUAUCCCAUUUUAGAGGAAAACAAUCUAAGUAUAUAAUAUUCAUGAGCUAACCA
rnacentral:lncRNA from 1 species